AGUGAACGCUGGCGGUAGGCCUAACACAUGCAAGUCGAACGGCAGCACAGUAAGAGCUUGCUCUUACGGGUGGCGAGUGGCGGACGGGUGAGGAAUACAUCGGAAUCUACUUUUUCGUGGGGGAUAACGUAGGGAAACUUACGCUAAUACCGCAUACGACCUACGGGUGAAAGCAGGGGAUCUUCGGACCUUGCGCGAUUGAAUGAGCCGAUGUCGGAUUAGCUAGUUGGCGGGGUAAAGGCCCACCAAGGCGACGAUCCGUAGCUGGUCUGAGAGGAUGAUCAGCCACACUGGGACUGAGACACGGUCCAGACUCCUACGGGAGGCAGCAGUGGGGAAGAUUGGACAAUGGGCGCAAGCCUGAUCCAGCCAUACCGCGUGGGUGAAGAAGGCCUUCGGGUUGUAAAGCCCUUUUGUUGGGAAAGAAAAGCAGCAGGUGAAUACCCCGCUGUUCUGACGGUACCCAAAGAAUAAGCACCGGCUAACUUCGUG
rnacentral:rRNA from 1 species